GCCCCUUUAGCUCAGCCGGUUAGAGCACCUCAUUCGUAAUGAGGAGGUCGUUGGUUCGAAUCCGACAGGGGGCU